ACAGCCGCCCUCGGAAAGUGCAAAAGCAGCCACGAGACAGAUCCAGGCUUUGUUGCUAAUUUCCCAGGGUGAAAAUUGACAAGCCUGGGAGUGCAGUCAGCACAACCCAUUGCAUAUGCUACUGACAAACGCUGGGGACAUCCCCUCCCACCCAUGCCUAUCACACAGAGAAUGUGACCUCUGCAGGACUGGACUCUGGAAGGACCCUACCUCCAGGACUCGCCCACAAGAAGAACUGCAAAAGAGCUCCAAAGGAGAAGGAAAAAAAAUCAUCAGAAAAACCCCCGUGCAGAUGAAGAGGCUUGAUGCUUAAUGCGCACAGAUGUGAUCGCCAGUGGUCGCCGACAAUGAAAUAUACAAGUGCACACAAAGUGAUCCGGUGAACAAGAGGUGGAAUUUAAUCAUCUUCUGCUGACACUUUGUGAAAAACACCAUUAACCCUCAGCAAACCCCUGUUUUCCUGGCUCCCUGUAACCCCUAAAGUCUCAGCCCCUCCUCCCAAGGAGAAAAAGUGAAAGAAGAAUUUGUGGUUUUGUUUACUCAGCCAAGCUAAAGGUUGGAUCCAGCCAGAUGAAAACUUUAAGGAACAAUGAAGGAGAGAGGUGCCGCUCUGAACCGGGACUAAGGUGCAGAACUGGAGUGAGCUGUUCUCCAACUCCUGAAUUUGAACCCUGGACUGAAUAAAAGCUUUAAGACCACAAGACAAACACAAAGUUUAUAGCCAACUCGUUUUUCAAGUGUAGUGUCUCUGCUACAGUCCUUGCUACUCUCUCCUUGGGAAGGUGCCUUCCAAGGUUCACCGUGGCUCCUCUGUACAUGUCCCUAUUCAGGAGGGCCUGGACUCUUCUUCAAUUUUCUGGUAUGGAAGACAUAUGUGGUAUCAAUUAUUCCAGGACCCAGAUCACUUCUUUCCUUUUAAAAUGCCACCAAGCAUCCUAAGAAAGUGUGAUGGUGUUUGGUGUUUGGAGGGUUUUAAAAUUGGGCACUUUGAAGCUAGCAGGCAGCACUGGCUCUACACACUGUUUUAAGUAGCUUUUCCAUGCUCAGGUGCUACUCCCCCACUAACUCCCCAAACUGUUUCCACAUUCUCCCGCUCCUGCCCUCUGCAUGCUUUACCAAUGUGCACAUAGCUGUUCUUGGGCAUAGAUGGUGCAUGCUAGGGGGAUUGUUUGAAAGGGUAAUUAAUAGGCAUAAGAUCCUGUCCUCAUCUGAUAUAUUUUAUAACUUAUUUUUUAUCAAAAAUGAAUUUCAAAUAUUCUGUUGCCAUCUCAGACAUACCAGCAUACAGCCUAAAAAUAGGUACAGUCACCAGAGCUAUGGUGACGGAUCAAACAAAUCUAUCUGCCAUCAAACUCAUGUUCUUGACUUGGGAAUCUCUCUGUGAAACACAGGGCAUUUCUGAGGAAAGCAAAGCCUGGUGACUGAAUGAAACCUUAGAUUUAUCCCCCUAAGGACAGAAUAGUUUUACAGUCAUGCUUUAAUUUUCCUUUGUAUUUUAUACCUUUGACAUUUCGUGGACAAAUGUAAGGAGCAGCAAGGCUGUUGACAGGCCUGGGGAUGACGAAGGAAGGACUAAGCGUUUUCUUCAUUCAAACAAGGCAGAAAGUGAAACCACGUAGUCUAAUGGUCAGUGUCUCAAUAAGAUGAGAAUAAACAGAAAGAGGCUCCGUGUCUUAUUUAUAUUUUAUCAGAGGUUAUUGCUGUAGAACCGUGAAGCACAAUAAAUAGCAUUCUGUUAGCAGCCAUUUGAAAGAAAAUGUUCAUCACUUUCAAAUAAAAUUACUUCCCUC
ensembl:antisense A830011K09Rik RIKEN cDNA A830011K09 gene